rnacentral:rRNA from 1 species
AAACUUUCAACAACGGAUCUCUUGGCUCUGGCAUCGAUGAAGAACGCAGCGAAAUGCGAUACGUAAUGCGAAUUGCAGAAUUCAGCGAGUCAUCGAAUCAUUGAACGCACAUUGCGCCCGCCAGCAUUCUGGCGGGCAUGCCUGUCCGAGCGUCAUUU